rnacentral:rRNA from 1 species
GAUGAACGCUGGCGGCGUGCUUAACACAUGCAAGUCGAACGGAAAGGCCCCUUUCGGUGUACUCUAGUGGCGAACGGGUGAGUAACACGUUUUUAACCUGCCCUUUACUUCGGGUUAACUUCAGGAAACUGGGGCUAAUACAGGCUAGGAAUCCUUCCUGCAUGGUGGGGGUUGGAAAGCUUCGGCGGUGUUGGUUGGACUCGCGGCUUAUCAGCUUGUUGGUGCGGUAGUGGUUUACCAAGACUUCGACGGGUAGCCGGACUGGGAGGGCGAGCGGCCACAGUGAGACUGGGACACGGCCCAGACUCCGACUGGAGGCAGCAGUGGGGAAGAUUGAUCAAUCAGAGGAAGCCAGAUGCAGAAACGCCGCGGGCGGGAGGACGGCCUUCGGGUUGUAAUUCGAUUUCAGCAGGGGCGAAGCUUGUGGUGACGGUACCUGAAGAAGAAGCACCGACUAACUACGUG